rnacentral:pre_miRNA from 1 species
UUAGCUCAUAUUUGUAUGGAAUGGGAUCGUUUGCCUACGUUUGCCGUUAGGGGCGCUGUUCCCACUGCAUACAAAAUUGAGCUA